GUUAUUAAANUUAUUUACACCNACAAUCGCCAGGGAAUUACGAGCAUAUGCUUAAAAUCCAAAGGAUUUGACGGUGUCCCACCCACCUAGAGGAGCCUGUUCUAUAAUCGAUAAUCCUCGAUAUACCCAACCAUUUCUUGCUUUUCAGCCUGUAUACCUCCGUCGCAAGCUUACCAUUUGAAUGUAAAAGAGUAGGUUUAAGGAUUCCCCAUCAAUACGUCAGGUCAAGGUGCAGCCAAUGUAAUGGAAAGUAAUGGGCUACAAUUUCUAUAAUAGAACAAACGAAACACUGCAUGAAAAACAGUUCAUGAAGGCGGAUUUAGUAGUAAAAGGAGAAUAGAGAGCUCCUUUUAACAAGGCCCUGGGACGUGUACAAACCGCCCGUCACCCUCUUCAGCGGCAUAAAAUUUAAGUUUUUAACCCAACAAAAGAAAUCAGAAGAGGCAAGUCGUAACAUGGUAAGUGUACUGGAAAGUGCACUUGGUUAACCAAAGUGUAAUUUAAAUUAAAAUCUUUCGCUUACAUCGUAACCAUGUCUGUUAAACCCAGACCACUUUGAGCCAAAAAUCUAGCCUUUAAACAACUUAUGUGACCCCCUAUUUAUUUUAAUUUAAUAAAACAUUUUUUUAUUCUAGUAGAUGAGAUCAAAAAAUUUCUUAGCGCUUCAGAUUAAGUACCGCAAGGGAAAGAUUAAAUAACAAUGAAACAACAUUAAAGCAUCUAAUAGCAGAGUUUUAUUCUCGUACCUUUUGCAUCAUGGUCUAGCUAGUUUAAUUAAGCAAAACGAAUUUUAAGUUUAACUCCCCGAAACUGAUGUGAGCUACUUCGAAACAGCCAUAAGAGCUAACCCGUCUCUGUUGCAAUAGAGUGGGAAGAUUUCCAAGUAGAGGUGAUAAACCUACCGCACUCAGAAAUAGCUGGUUACUCAAGAAAAGAAUAUAAGUUCAACCUUAAGUUUAUUUUAGUCCUUAAAAACCUUAACAAAACUUAAGAGCUAUUCAAAUAAGGCACAGCUUAUUUGAAACAGGAUACAACCUUUAUCAUAGGGUAAUACNUCANAAAUAAAAUGAUUAGUGGGCCUAAAAGCAGCCACCUUAANCANUAGCGUCAAAGCUUAACAUUUUCUUUUUCUAAUUCCUCAAACCACCUAAAACCCAUCCCCAAUAUUGAGUAAUUCCAUAAAAAUAUGGAAGAUAUUAUGCUAGAACUAGUAACAAGAAAUAACUUUUCUCCAAAAUGUAAGUCUAAGCCACAUUAGAUAAACUAAUGGCAAUUAACGAAAAUGAACCUCCUUUAGUAACUAAUCAAGAAAAUUCUACAAACCAAAACGUUAACCUUACACUAGAACAUUAAUGGAAAGAUUAAAAGAAAAAGAAGGAACUCGGCAAAUCUUAACCCCGCCUGUUUACCAAAAACAUCGCCUCUUGAAAUCAAAUAUAAGAGGUCUAGCCUGCCCAGUGAUAAAAUUCAACGGCCGCGGUACCCUAACCGUGCGAAGGUAGCAUAAUCACUUGUUCUUUAAAUGAGGACUUGUAUCAACGGCAUCACGAGGGUUACACUGUCUCCUUUUUCCAAUCAGUGAAACUGAUCUCUCCGUGAAGAAGCGGAGAUUUUUCUAUAAGACGAGAAGACCCCAUGGAGCUUUAAACCCACCUGCACUCCUAUUUUCUAUUACCUCUAAAACUAUGGAAUCUGCAUUCUUGGUUUUAGGUUGGGGUGACCGCGGAGCACAAUAUAGCCUCCACGAUGAACGGGAUUACCCCCUUAUCUACGAGCUACACCUCUAAGAAUUAGUAUUCUAACAUAAAAUGAUCCGACAAUCGAUCAACGAACCAAGUUACCCUGGGGAUAACAGCGCAAUCCACUUCAAGAGCUCCUAUCGACAAGUGGGUUUACGACCUCGAUGUUGGAUCAGGGUAUCCUAGUGGUGCAGCAGCUACUAAAGGUUCGU
rnacentral:misc_RNA from 1 species